UUUAUAAAUGACUGUAAGACUGGAUAGACAUAGGCACAUCUGUUGCAGGCUUGGCACAAGAAGCAGUGCAGGACUGUGGUUCCUGAGAAGGAAACAAAGAAGUGACAGCCACGUCCGCCCCAGCUUUCUGCCUGGGGCUACUGCACUUUCGGACCUAGUAGAGGAGUCCGGGCAGAGCACUGAGAUUCCACCGAGCAGAGAGGCAGAGUUUGGUGAAACCACACAUCCAAGAAAUCUGGCAACUUCUAAGCAAGAUAAAUACAGAGAAAACAUUACCUUGACACGUCAGUGACAAACUCCUGAACACUAAAGACAAAAAGGAACAAGGAGCACUUCAAAUGCAGAAAGUGAACCGGAAAGAGGAAAGGAUCCCUCCUGGUUUACAGGUGGUUCUGUGGAACAGUCCACCACCAACUAGGAGUGAGUUGCAUCAUUGGUGGCCCUGAAGGAUAGAGGAGAGGGGGUCUCCUUCACAAGGACAGGACUCUGAAGAGUUUAUAUGUGUUCACUUUGCUGGCUGGAGAGUUGGUCCAAGAUUUUACCUACUUACAGCAAGAGAGAACUUGUAUUUCCUGAAGAUCUACUGUGCACCUGUGACUAAGUCAAUGGUAUGGAAAGGUGGGGAAGGGAUGGGGUGGUUCUCCCAAGUGAGAGAAGAAUUUAAUCACUGAGAUUGUUUCAGAUGCUCACUAACUGUAAUAAUAAAAAGCAGGUCAAUAUUUA